CCGUAGGUGAACCUGCNGGAAGGAUCAUUUGCACAAUUAUUCACCCAACAUCACAUGCGAUCUUUUCCUCGACCUCACGUCACACCGCUGCAGCAAGUUGCUUUUUUGUUUGAGAGCAAAUGAAUGACACUUUCAACGGUGGAUGUCUCAGCUCGAGUUCCGAUGAAGAACGCAGCGAAGCGCGAUACGCAUGGCGAUGCGCGGAGAUCCGUGACUUGAAGUUUUUCGAAUGCAUUGCGCCUUGUGCCCGUGCAUAAGGCACAUCUGGUUCGGAGUCUUUUGAUUAUCUUUCGGAGUGUGCUAACCCCGAAAGCAAUGUGCCUUGCGCAUCACAAUUCCCAAUACUGGAUGUGGUUUGCUGAGAUAUUGGAACGGUGUGGCGUCUUUGAAUUAGAGAAAUGUAUUUCUUUUCAAAACCGACGUAUCUAGCACUCAGUGUCCAUUAGUGAUCAGCUUCUGAGGCGUUUUUUUCCAUGUCGUUGGACCUGAACUUGGAUUGGGUUACCCGCUGAAUUUAAGCAUAUCAAUAAGCGGAGGAA
rnacentral:rRNA from 1 species